rnacentral:lncRNA from 1 species
CCUCCCCUAGUCCCCGGGCGCCAGCAGCGGCCUAGACCCGGUCCGCGACGGCCUCGUGAGCCCCGUCCUUCCCCAGUUCUUGGGGUCGGCCUCGGCCUGAGGGCGUCCCACCCACCUGGACGAGAUCCCUGCCUCCUGCACUGCCGAGCCCCGCUGCCGCCGAGCCCGGCCCAAGGCCAGAAAACCGCAGCUCUCAGCCCGCGACCCACUGACACCGAGGCGGAAGUGCGGCCCGCAGCCUCGCCGACCGACAGCGCGUACAGCCACUCGUCGCGCCUGGCGCUGUCGCGUAGGACAUCGCUCACCCAAUCAGCCUCAGGCCCGAAGGCCGCACCGGAGGGCGGGACUAUGCUGCUCACGUCGCCCGGGUGACCUCUCCCCGCCCCCCCCGGGAAUCCCGCCUACUCGGAGGAAUGACUGCACACAUAACCAAUCACUGCAGGGGAGAGGUGGAGUCAUGCAGAUACUGACCGGGGAGGGGCGAGCGAGGAGGAAAGGGCGUGGCCGAGGAAAAUGCGAGUUUACAAACAACCACCCCAGAUUGAAGCCUUGGACUGCUGGUAAGGGUCUUGCCACCUGAGGAGCAAGGAACAUGGGAAUGAAGCCAAAGAUUGGAAGGAAUAAGAGCAAAUACCACUGAGCCACCUGGAACCAGCUGUAAGAUCUAGCCUAGAUUUUUCAGUCAUCUGAACAACUGCAUUUUCUCUUCUGCUCAAGUCAAUUUAAGGUGGAGUCAAAAAGGUAUAGGUCCCCUGAAACCGCAAGAACACUGAUCAGUUACCCAUGAUCCCACAGCACAUUGAUGCACUGAGCAUGCCUCUUCUACAGAGCCAGCCCUAGGGCCAGCACUCCCUCCUUGGAAUGUGUCUCUCCACUUCCAGCAGAGUGUCUGUGUGUAACACACAGGUCUCCCUUAGCAGGACCAAGGGUGACUUGAAGGCAGGGGCCACCCUUGGCUACUUCUGUGGCCCCUAGGCAGAUACUCUGCCCUCAUAAAUACUGCGGUGCUAAUGAGUGAAUGGGGCCUCUGUGGCAGGGGCCCAGGCCUCUUUUCCAGCCCCCCAUCCCAGGGACUGCCUCAGCUCACUGGUGGGCCCACUGUCAGCUGGGCUGUGGAGAUGUGGCAGGACUGAGAAGGAGCGCCCUGUGCUGCUCUAGAAGAGAGCCGAGAUGGGAGGGAGGCAGCUGGCCUCCACAACAAAGGCGUUACCAUGGUUACCUCUGAAGAGAGCGACUGUGCCAGCAGAGGGAAGGGUGCGGCGGCAUGUGGCCCCCAAGCCAGGACAAGGACG